UUUUUUUUUCUUCCCUGAGUUCUCUCUGUUCCCCUACCAACCCCACAAUCAGGAGCCCAUGGAAAUUGGACACUCUCUCCUCACCCCUCAGGAACGUGAAAAUGCUAUCUCUACUGCAGUAAAACCGGACAUCUUCAUCUAAUCUGUCCUUACUGGUGCCUGAACCUGCAGGUGCCGCUGGAAAUGUUUUAGAUGCCCAUGUAGCUCGCUCUUGGAACAUCACAUUGCUACCGGCCCAUUCUCCUCUCCGUGUUCAGACUCUGGAUGGAUCCCCUCUGUUUCCAGGAUUGGUUAGAUGGCAAACCUUUCCCUUCUUCAGAUGGGUGCUGUUCACACUGAACAUGUACAAGUCUACCUCCUAGAGACCCCUCUCCAUGCUUUGGUCCGAGGUUUCCCUAGGCUCAGGAAAGACAACCCUCAUAUUUCCUGCCCCCCCUGUGGAAUACUGGCUUGGAGUCCACUGUCCAAUACCCCUUGUGACCCCUCCUCUGGUAUUUAUGAUCCUGGCCGCUGUUCAUUGGGACAUCAAGCAUACAAUGAGACUUGCCCAGCAUAGCCAACCUAUUCCUCCUCAGUGGUCCUCAGAUAAUCUUUUUGUGACAAGCUCAGUAAGGUCCUCAGUCCUGAAAUGGGGACACGGUUUUCAUUUUGCAGCUCAUCCAGGAAUAAAAAAAAAAACUCAAAAAUCGAUUUCUAGGGAUUUUUGGGCUACCUUGUAGAAGGAUGUCAGAGACUGUGUGCGUGCUUGUACCAUUUGUGCACAGAUAAAAACCUCCUGCUUUAAGACCCCUGGAGACCAUCAACCCUUGCCCACUCCCAGUCAUCCCUGGACACAUCUCUCAGUGGACUUUAUUACUGAUCUCCCGGUUAGCCAGGGUUGUAACACUGUGUUAGUCAGUGUGGAUAGAUUUGUUACACUUUGUAAAACAUAAAGCAAGCAAAAAACAGAGUACAAAUAACA